GCGGGGUCCUUUCGCGUCCGAGCGGCGACGGGUGAGUAACACGUGAGCAACCUGCCCCUGACUCCGGGAUAAGCGGUGGAAACGCCGUCUAAUACCGGAUACGACCCUCCUCCUCAUGGUGGGGGGUGGAAAGUUUUUUCGGUCGGGGAUGGGCUCGCGGCCUAUCACCUUGUUGGUGGGGUAACGGCCUACCAAGGCAAUUACGGGUAGCCGGCCUGAAAGGGCAACCGGCCACACUGGGACUGAAACACGGCCCAAACUCCUGCGGGAGGCACCAUUGGGGAAUAUUGCGCAAUGGGCAAAAGCCUGACCCACCGACCCCCCGGGGGGGAUGACGGCCUUCGGGUUGUAAACCUCUUUUACCACUCACGCAGGCCCCGGGUUCUCCCGGGGUUGACGGUAGGUGGGGAAUAAGGACCGGCUAACUACUUGCCACCACCCCCGGUAAUACUUAGGGUCCAAGCGUUGUCCGGAAUUAUUGGGCGUAAAAAGCUCGUAGGCGGCUUGUCCCGUCUGCUGUGAAAAACCGGGGCUUAACCCCGGUUCUGCAUUGAAUACGGGCAUGCUAAAGGUAGGUAGGGAAAACUGGAAUUCCUGGUGUACCGGUGAAAUGCGCAAAUUUCAGGAGGAACACCGGUGGCAAAGGCGGGUCUCUGGGCCUUACCUGACGCUAAGGAGCGAAAGCAUGGGGAGCGAACAGGAUUAGAUACCCUGGUAGUCCAUGCCGUAAACGUUGGGCGCUAGGUGUGGGGGACUUUCCACGGUUUCCGCGCCGUAGCUAACGCAUUAAGCGCCCCGCCUGGGGAGUUACGGCCGCAAGGCUAAAACCUCAAGAUUGACGGGGGCCCGCCACAAGCGGCGGAAGCAUGUUGCUUAAUCCGACGCACGCGAAGAACUACAAGGCUUUGACUAUCACCGGUGGAAACCCUU
rnacentral:rRNA from 1 species